CAGAAGCCACCAGCCUGCCCCUUCUUCCCACCUGGCUCUGAAACUAUGCGCUAGGGACCGUGGCCCAGUUGCUGUUGGAGUGGAAAGGUCUCAUUCUAGAAACAACAAAACCAAAACAAGCAUAAAAACCAGAAAAACUUCCUCUUCCAUCCUGUACCUGUCAGCUCUCAGCAAGAGGAGCACCAAAGUUAU
rnacentral:lncRNA from 1 species